GGGGGAUUAGCUCAGUUGGCUAGAGCGUGUGACUGGCAGUCACAAGGUCAGGGGUUCGAUUCCCCUAUUCUCCA
rnacentral:tRNA from 1 species